AAGUUCUGAGUUUUUAACACUAAUAAUCAGUAGGUGUUGGAAAAGUCUAGUUGGUGAACAUUCAGGCCUACAUCUAGCCAGAAUUUCCUAGCGAUGUGACAAUCCAAGAAGAUGUGGGAUGUGGAUUCAUCAGCCAUCUUACAGAUGGGACAAAGAGGUUGCUCGACUAUGUUGAGUCGAUAGAGGUAAUCCAUGGUGAGGAGUCUAUCAAAAGCGCACAGCCAAAGCAUAAAUUUGUGUUUACAUACGGUGGGAAGCUUCCAGAUCCAUUCAAAACUAUAGGGGGUAAUGUGACGAUGUCGAAUAAGGGAUAGGACAGAGUGGGUAGUGAAGAGGCCAUUGGAGGUGGCUGCCCAGUAAGGGGUAUUCUUGGUGUUGUUAGAGGGAUACAGUUUGACCAAAGCACUCUGGGUAAUAAUUGAGUCUGGGAGGGUAA
rnacentral:lncRNA from 1 species